GUAAAACAUCGUGCUCCUAGGAAGUGGCAAUUUGAUGAAAGUGACUGCGAUGAAGCAAUCUUGCAAGCCGAGAAGGCUUUUGAAGUUAAAUAUUGUUUGGUUAUGGUUGAUGUGGCAACCAAUUCAUUGAAUAACAGAUUUAAAGAACUCCAAUCAUUCAAAAGUAUAUUUGGAUUUUUAAUGAAUUCAACGGCCUCGAAGUUAGUGGACUGUUAUGAACUAAAAGACAAUUGCGCUAAAUUUGCAAGUUAUUUCUCUUCAGAUGAUUCAUCUAAUGUCGGGUUAAAUGAUCUAAUUUUUUGA
rnacentral:rRNA from 1 species